rnacentral:rRNA from 1 species
UACGGAAGGCAGCAGUGGGGAAUAUUGCACAAUGGGCGCAAGCCUGAUGCAGCCAUGCCGCGUGUAUGAAGAAGGCCUUAGGGUUGUAAAGUACUUUCAUCGGGGAGGAAAAAAACAAAAACUAAUAAUUUUAUUUCUUGACGUUACCCGAAAAAGAAGCACCGGCUAACUCCGUGCCAGCAGCCGCGGUAAUACGGAGGGUGCUAGCGUUAAUCAGAAUUACUGGGCGUAAAGAGCACGUAGGUGGUUUUUUUAAGUUCAGAUGUGAAAUCCCUGGGCUUAACCUAGGAACUGCAUUUUGAAACUGAAAUACUAGAGUAUCGUAGAGGGAGGUAGAAUUCUAGGUGUAGCGGUGAAAUGCGUAGAUAUCUGGAGGAAUACCUGUGGCGAAAGCGGCCUCCUAAACGAAUACUGACACUGAGGUGCGAAAGCGUUGGGGAGCAAACAGGGAUUUAGGAUACC